rnacentral:rRNA from 1 species
ACGGGUGAGUAACGCGUAGGAAUCUGCCUUGAAGAUUGGGAUAACCCGAGGAAACUCGGGCUAAUACCGGAUAAUCUCUACGGAGGAAAGCUAGGUAGCAAUAUCUGGCGCUUUAAGAGGAGCCUGCGUCCGAUUAGCUAGUUGGUAGGGUAAAGGCCUACCAAGGCGAUGAUCGGUAGCUGGUCUGAGAGGAUGAUCAGCCACACUGGGACUGAGACACGGCCCAGACUCCUACGGGAGGCAGCAGUGGGGAAUAUUGGACAAUGGGGGCAACCCUGAUCCAGCAAUGCCGCGUGUGUGAAGAAGGCCUUCGGGUUGUAAAGCACUUUAGGUUGGGAAGAAGGUAUGUUGUUUAAGAGAUGAUAUAUUUGACGGUACCAACAGAAUAAGCACCGGCUAACUCUGUGCCAGCAGCCGCGGUAAUACAGAGGGUGCAAGCGUUAAUCGGAGUUACUGGGCGUAAAGGGCGCGUAGGCGGUAUGGUAAGUGAGAUGUGAAAUCCCUGGGCUUAACCUAGGAACUGCAUCUUAUACUGUCAUACUGGAGUACAGUAGAGGGCAGUGGAAUUUCCGGU